rnacentral:rRNA from 1 species
CCUACGGGAGGCAGCAGUGAGGGAUAUUGGUCAAUGGGGGAAACCCUGAACGAGCAAUGCCGCGUGAACGAGGAAGGUCUUCGGAUCGUAAAGUUCUGUUGAAGGGGAAAAAGAGCGGAGAGAGGAAAUGCUUUCUGAUUGAUAUUACCCUUCGAGGAAGUCACGGCUAACUACGUGCCAGCAGCCGCGGUAAUACGUAGGUGGCGAGCGUUAUCCGGAAUGAUUGGGCGUAAAGGGUGCGUAGGCGGCCUGCUAAGUCUGGAGUGAAAGGUACCGGCUCAACCGGUACAGGCUCUGGAAACUGGCGGGCUAGAGAGCAGGGGAGGGCGGUAGAACUCCAGGUGUAGCGGUAAAAUGCGUAGAUAUAUGGAAGAACACCAGUGGCGAAGGCGGUCGCCUGGCCUGUUACUGACGCUGAGGCACGAAAGCGUGGGGAGCAAAUAGGAUUAGAUACCCUGGUAGUC